GGAGAGAUGGCUGAGUGGUUGAUAGCUCCGGUCUUGAAAACCGGUAUAGUUCUAGGAACUAUCGAGGGUCGAAUCCCUCUCUCUCCU
rnacentral:tRNA from 1 species